rnacentral:lncRNA from 10 species
CUCGGGGCUGUGGGGCUGCUCGGUCUAUAGAGUAGCCUUUUUUGUUUUUUUGAGACAGAGUCUUGCUCUGUCGCCCAGGCUGGAGGGCAGUGGCGCAAUCUCAGCUCACCGCAACCUCCGUCUACCGGGCUCAAGCAAUUCUCCUGCCUCAGCUUCCCAAGUAGCUGGGAUUACAGGUGUGUGCGACCGUGCCCAGCUAAUUUUUGUAUUUUUAGCAGAGCCAGGGUUUUAUCAUGUUGGCCAGGCUGGUCUCGAACUCCUGACCUCGGGUGAUCCACCUGCCUCGGCCUCCCAAAGUGCUGGGAUUACAGGCGUGAGCCACAGCGCCCAGCCUUAGAGUAGCCAUUCUUUUAUUCCUUUACUUUCUUAAUAAACUUGCUUUCACUUCGCACUAGGGACUCACCCUGAAUUCUUGUGCGAGAUCCAAGAACUCUCUCGGGGUCUGGAUUGGGACCCCAUUCUUGUAACAUAUUUUUCUGUCCUGUAAGAUAUUUCUGGCGACUACAGAAGGGACUAUAGUGCAGAAAUCGCGACCCAACGGCUACCUUUGGGUAAGUGUUGGGGUCCUGUAACAUCUUUCUCGCGAACCACAAAAGGGACCAUACUGUAGAGACUCCCGACCCAAAGGAAAAUCAUCCGCGCUCACCAGUCGGCUGACUUUGGACGGAGUCUCCUGUGUUGCCCAGGCUGAAGUACAGUGGCGUGAUCUCGGCUCACUGCAACCUCAGCCUCCCGGGUUCAAGCGAUUCUCCUGCCUCUGCCUCCCGAAUAGCUGGGACUACAGGUGUGUGCCACCACGCUCAGCUAAUUUUUUAUAUUUUUAGUAGAGAUGGCAUUUCACCAUGUUGGUCAGGAUGGUCUCGAUCUCUUGACCUCGUGAUCCGCCCACCUCGGCCUCCCAAAGUGCUGGGAUUACAGUCGUGAGCCACCGCGCCCUGCCAUGUCUAUGUUUUAUCACAUGUAUUUUGCUCUGGCCAGAACAAAAACAAAUAAUUUUCCUUUAUGAUGCGGCUUGGCCCCCAGGACGAUGGUGCCACAAGCCUGAUCAGUAAUGCCGCUUAGGGAAAGGGAACCCAGAAGCCUGGCAUGCUGGCAAAAGGGUAAGAAUUUCCUACCAGUCAGAUUUCUGGCUUCUCUCUCUGUGAAAAUGGUUCAAUAAAUGGAAAAAUAAAUAAAUAAACAAAUAAAUCAGUGUUGAUCUCCUCUGUAAAGUUUUAAUUAAUGUGAAAAAAUUCUAAGGCUAAUCUUAAACUGGUGUAUUUCGUGCUGUAAAUUUGUUUUUCUGUGUUGAGGGGUACUUUAGAGUAAAACAUGGGCUUAGAACACCUGUAAGCCUGCUUUUCAAAACGACCCAGCAAGCUGGUCAGUAAGAAACUUGGCUGUAGGUCCCUGAAACAAACAAAAAAAACUGGAUGAAGUCUCCACUUUGUUUUAUGUUCUUGGGAGCGUGACCUUUUAACCAUGUGGUGGUACUUUCUCUUGGUCUCUGCCUUCCAGGGAACAGGAAUUUUAGGGUUCAUGUCAUAGUUAGCUCUAAAAAUCAUAUUAGAUAGUUAGAAGCCUCUGCAAGCUCAAAAUUAACUACUCUAGGCUCCUUCUGAGAAAACACACACACAGAAUGCUGCCCACUGUAGCUCAGUAACUAGGAUCUUGCACUUUCACAGUUAGUGGUCCAGGUUCGUUUCCCCACCUAGGAAAUAAGUCAUUUCUGGUGUAAUAUCUGAGUGACCUUGUCUAUUCUCUUCUCCGUGGACUGUCCUAAAUUUUCCUUUCUCUAAGCGCCUAGAAGGUUACCUUUGGUAACGUUCAAAAGCUGGAAAUUUUGGCCGCUUGGCAUGGCUACAGUCGGGUAACAAGAGAUCUGAAAAAAUGUCUUUUUUUUUUUUAAAGAGCACUAUGGUUGAAAGUCAGCUUAAUUAAAAGUGGAUAAACAAGCUCUAGAUAUAUUUAAAAGGCCUUUAUGUUUUUCUCUUCUUGGAACUUGCUUUUCUGGAAAAGUUUUUUUUUUUCUUCUCAGUCGACUGAAUUAUUUUUCUCCAUUUUUUGUUUGUUUGUUUGUUUUGCCACUCUCAAUGCAUACAUGAGGGGCCCUAAGGUAACUUCUGGUAGCCUGGGACUCCUUGGGAAAAACGGAGGAGGCGCCACAGACUCCAUUUUGGGGAAAAAAAAAAACCUCUGUUUUCUUCAUGAAACCCCAGGAAUUAAAAGCAGACAGAUCCCUCUAAAAAAUCAAAGGCUCUGUUCUGUUUUGCAUUGUGUUAUCUAAUGGUUUUGAGUUUUGGGGGUAUCAGAAAUUACUUCCCAUUAUGAAAAAGCUUUGGUGUUUUAUAAUACAAUAACUAGGUAGGAAAUACACUUUAAGGGAUGGCUAAUAAUAGCUAUCAAGGGAUACUUGACUCUUUGCAUACUUGAGUAAAAAAAGCAUGCUCUUGGCCACCUAGAAGAUAGGGAAACACCCCAACCCCACUGGGAAAUAAAACUCCCAUGAGGAAUGGGCUGAUUAUAAAAUGGGCUGAUUGGCUUUGUGUUGCCUUGCAAUGAAAUGCAGAAUAGAAGCACUGCACCGCCUGCUCCCGUAGUAUUUCCUUCCUUUUGGGACUCCAGGAACCAGUAUAAAAUGGCACCCUUAACUGUGGGGAUCUGUCUUUGCUUUCAGCUGCUUAUUUGCUGCUUAUUUGGCCUUAGAAACGCAAGCUUUCCUGGCCCUGUUCCUCCAAGGGCUCCGCCCUGAAGCCAGUAAUCCAGUUAAAAAACUGGCAAAUAGAAAAAUCUUACAAGUGCUAAAUCUUCUGUCUGUGUAUUUAUAUGUGUUGUAUGUUUAUAUGUAAAAGAGCUCUAAUUAAUUGGCUUAAAAACUAAGCGCUUAAAUAAAAUAUUUUGUCAGAAAAAUAGACACUUUAACGCCUUUUUGUUCACAUGACUUCAGUAAUCUUUUAAAAAUAAAGACAGUUUUAAAGGUUAUUGGUAAAAUAAAAUGUCUUAAAAAUGUAAACAUUUAGGCCAGGGCGAUGGUGCAUGCCUGUAAUUUCAGCACUUUGGG